rnacentral:rRNA from 1 species
GUAGGAAUCUUUUGCAAUGCGCGCAAGCGUGACAAAGCGAGCCAGAGUGCUUUUCAAUUGAAAAGCUUUUGCUAAAUCUAAAAAUUUUGGCGAAUAAGGACUGGGUAAGACUAGUGCCAGCCGCCGCGGUAAUCCUAGCGGUCCAAGUCGCAGCCAUCAUUAUUGGGUCUAAAACAUCCGUAGCUUGCUUAAUAAGUUCCUUGUGAAAUCUUAUCUCUUAAGGAUAAGGCGUGCGGGGGAGUACUGCUAAGCUAGAGACUGGAAGACGUAAGAAGUAUGUUCAAAGUAGCGGUAAAAUGUGUUAAUCUUGAGCAGACUCACAACAGCGAAGGCAUCUUACGAGGACAGUUCUGACAGUAAAGGAUGAAGGCUAGGGGCGCAAAGUGGAUUAGAUACCCAUGUAGUCCUAGCAGUAAACACUGCACACUAAACAUUAGUACCUCUUCGAGAGGUAUUGGUGCUGUAGAGAAGUCGAAGAGUGUGCUACCUGGGAAGUAU